GUGGUGAGUAUGGGGGAGGGGAACCACUCUACAGGCUUAAGAUUAGGUCUCACUCUUUUAGUGUGCCUGUGCCUCUGGACUGUAGACUUCUCAAAUGAAUCUUAGUUUUUUCUCCUCUCUUAGGUUGGGGAAGAUGGCUAGCAUGGGCUGGAGUUGGGUAUUUCUCUUUUCCCACGUGGAAGGUUAUUGAUGACUAGAGUUGGGUAUUUCCCUUCCCUCAGGUCAUUUAGGCUCUGAUAAUACUCCAGCAGGUUAGGCUCUGGUUAACUAGUUUCUCCUGAGCACAGGCCUUGUUAAGAAGAACAGAAGCACCUCUCUUGUGCUUCCAUCCCGAUUCAGGGUCUCAGCCUAUGCGUCCCAGCACACCAGAGUGCACUGGUGUAAACCAAAAUGGUUUCUCUUCCCCUUCUCCUGCCAGAAGCAUGAGGGGAUGUUUUUCCAAUAUUUACUGUGGAAACCUAGUCAAGCUCCUGGAAGUAAAACCCACAAUUGGUGGAGGCCCUUCUAUGACUGGGUCCCCACGGAGUUUUUAACUCCCGGAGUUAUUCACUCUGAGCCUCCAGGAAUCCAUCAAUUACAGUUCUGGUUUUUCUACCCUGGUGUUGGUUCCCAGGGCAGUUUCUGCUCAUUUGUCUCUGCUGUGCAAGUGUGAGUGAUUCUUGUGUUCCUGGUGACCCACCAUGAGUAGAGCAUCCCUCUCUCAGAAAUGGACAGAGCCAAAGGCGGAAAACCAGUAAGGACAAAAUUGAACUCAAUCAAGUGGAUAUAAUGGACAUCUAUAGACUACUUCAUCCAACAACAGCAGAACACACAUUCUUCUCAAGCUCAAGUGGAACAUUCAACAAAAAGACCACAUUUUGGGCUAUAAAACACACCUUAACAAAUUUAAAGGAAUGUAAAUCAUACAGUUUCUGCGCUUGAACCACAAUGAAAUUAGACUAGAAAUCAACAACAGAAAAAAACUGGAAAAUCCCCAAAUACAUGGAGAUUAAACAACAUACUUCUAAAUAACACAUGGAUAAAAGAAAUCUCAAGAGAAAAUUUUAAAAUAUUUUUGAACUAAAUGAAGAUGAAAACACAACUUAUCAAAAUU
rnacentral:lncRNA from 1 species